AUGAAAGAAAGUUAUCAGUUUUCUGGAGUCUUUUGAACAUGAUUUUGCCUUAAAUUAAGUAAAUGUGUUGCAUGUUCUACAUGCAUGAUAUUUAAUUUUCUGUCUUUGACAAUUAAUUACCCUGGGUUGGGUUAUAAUAUGGGGUUUGUAUUCAACUAUUAAAUAGUUGUUGCACAUUUCAUACCACUGAAGUAGACAUUUCUUCAGUUUGUUAAUGACAUAUAUAAGCAAUUUGGCCAAUGUCACAGUUUUAUUACAUACCUCAGUCAAUAUUAAUUUGAAACCUAAAUUAAAGGCAACACCCUCAUCUUGUUCUUCCAUAUGCAAAGUGUAGUCUCAUUGAAUUCAUGGUCAACACGUCAGUUUUAAGGAGGUGGCCCCUGAAGUGAUAGUCAUUAACAUGCCAUUCUGCCCUGAAGAUGUUGAAAAGGGGGCUACUGCUUGCUGCACCCCCGUUUUCCCAUAGUCCCUCUAUGGGAAAGUAGUUGACAUCAUUGACCAUGUUGGCUUUGCUCUGUGUGCUCAAAGCAUGCCUAUGGUGCAGGGUUUGUGUACUCUUCCUCACGUUCCUCUCUCACUCUUCACACUGCUUAGCGGUCACUUGUGCACAGAAUGGUGUCAUGGGCACUGUUUGUCUCUGACAAUUGCAUCUGACAUUCUUUAUCUUUGUGCAGGUUACAGUCACUGGGAAGGCGGUCAGGGUGAACACAUCUUCCUCUGCCUAAAAGCCAUCAUGGAUCUCCGUAUCUCAAGGUACUGUAAUACAGAAAUAAUGCUCCAGUCUGCAGGGAUGCUAAACAAAACUGGCACGGUGUAGGACCUGGUGACACCUCUCACUACAGCAGCUGUGUGUCUCUACAAUCAAUUACACUGGCUGACUGACAUCCUCUCCAACCCUGAUCCUGGCUUGUAUUCACCCUCUGGAAAUCGCUCCCCGUUACUACAGCAACCACCUUUGGCAUAAUCCCCAGGCUAGUGCAGACCCCCAUAUCUCUUCGAGACAUGCUACUACUGCCAGAGGAGGGCAGUGCAUUACUUUUCUUCUGGUAAUGUUUUAAGGAAGUCACUGGAUACGUUGCGCACUGCAGUGUGUUUUAAUGGUGAAUAUGAGACGUCUCUGAGGGUUUAGACAAAAUCUCCCAUGUAAAAAGUCUCCUCGAAUGGAAUACUCCACUGAUCCCGGCUUUGAGGGGGCAUCCAGUGGCGUGAAAUCCCAGAGAAGGGAUGUCUUGGGUGGGAAAGGUUUAAAGGAGACCCCCUGGAAAACUAUGAAUAAUAUUAUUUCUUUUUAGCCGACUUUAACUUGGAUUUUGUGAAAAACUGUAUAGUAAUAUCUCAUGGAAAUAAUCAUGGGUAUAGCAGAGGUCAUCAAUAACGAGAAAGCAGUAUCAUUUUCAGAAUUUACACUUUUAAUGAUCUGCUUUAAAAAAUAAAAAAUAUUGGAAAAUUA